UGGGUCGUCUACAUAUUUCGCUGACGACGUCCCCAAAUUCUCAAUCGCUCUCUCUCUCUCUCUCUUGUCAAUCGGCAUUUGUUGUUGGUGUAAGAUUGUGAAAAUAAUCUCUCUGAUCGGGGAAGAAGAUGUGGAACCAGAAGUAUGAUUUGGAGUCGGCAGAGACGCCUCUGUACCCGAUGAUGAUGGAGAGCCCCGAGCUCCGAUGGUCUUUCAUCCGUAAGGUCUAUUCCAUAAUCUCCAUCCAGCUCCUCGCCACUAUCGCCGUCGCCGCCACCGUCGUUAAAGUUGAACCGAUAUCGGUCUUCUUCACGACCACCAACGCAGGCCUCGCCCUCUACAUCCUUCUUAUCAUCACUCCUUUGAUUGUGAUGUGUCCCUUGUAUUACUACCACCAGAGGCAUCCUGUCAACUAUCUAUUACUCUCCAUUUUUACCGUCUCUAUUGCCUUUGCUGUUGGCUUGACCUGCGCCUUUACCAGCGGAAAAGUGAUCCUGGAGGCUGUGAUUUUGACGGCUGUUGUGGUGGUUUCCCUCACUCUCUACACUUUCUGGGCUGUCAAGAGAGGCCAUGACUUCAACUUCCUCGGUCCCUUCUUGUUCGGUGCUCUCAUUGUCCUUGUCGUCUUUUCCUUCAUCCAGAUUUUCUUCCCUCUAGGAAAGAUCUCGGUGAUGAUCUAUGGUUGUGUAGCAUCCAUCAUCUUUUGUGGCUACAUUGUAUAUGAUACCGACAACUUGAUCAAGAGGCACUCCUAUGACGAGUACAUCUGGGCUGCUGUUUCGCUUUACCUUGACGUCAUUAACCUCUUCCUAUCUCUGCUCUCUCUCUUGAGGGCUGCUGAUAGUUAAUACCCUCUUCUCAAGACUACUUAUGUGCCAUCCAUUUAGACAUGGAGUUUUUCUGCUUCCUCUCGGCAGCGAUGGCUACAAGGCGGGAGACGCCCUGAGUCCAUAUGUCAUACUCCCUUUCGUUUCUGCACUCAAAUUCGAUCACUCUCUUUGUCUCAGUCUUCAAGCCGAAGUAGUGAUGCUUGUCCCCAUUGAAGAGAUCCCUCCCUGCCCAUGCUGCACAACUUGGCCUGCUUUGUUCAUGUAGACAGAGACAAUCUUCCAGUGGAGGUCACCUGCUUACAAUAUACAAGGUCAGCAAAGCCUUCUUCUUCU